UACCUACGGGGGGCAGCAGUAGGGAAUCUUCCACAAUGGACGAAAGUCUGAUGGAGCAACGCCGCGUGAGUGAAGAAGGGUUUCGGCUCGUAAAGCUCUGCUGGGAGUGAAGAAAGAUAGAGGUAGUAACUGGCCUUUAUUUGACGGUAAUUACUUAGAAAGUCACGGCUAAAUAAGUGCCAGCAGCCGCGGUAAUACGUAGGGGGCAAGCGGUGUCCGGAUUUAUUGGGGGUAAAGAGAGUGC
rnacentral:rRNA from 1 species